rnacentral:rRNA from 1 species
AAUAGAUACCCGGGUAGUCCACGCCGUAAACGAUGAGUGCUAAGUGUUAGAGGGUUUCCGCCCUUUAGUGCUGCAGCUAACGCAUUAAGCACUCCGCCUGGGGAGUACGGCCGCAAGGCUGAAACUCAAAGGAAUUGACGGGGGCCCGCACAAGCGGUGGAGCAUGUGGUUUAAUUCGAAGCAACGCGAAGAACCUUACCAGGUCUUGACAUCCUCUGCCAACCCUAGAGAUAGGGCGUUCCCCUUCGGGGGACAGAGUGACAGGUGGUGCAUGGUUGUCGUCAGCUCGUGUCGUGAGAUGUUGGGUUAAGUCCCGCAACGAGCGCAACCCUUGAUCUUAGUUGCCAGCAUUCAGUUGGGCACUCUAAGGUGACUGCCGGUGACAAACCGGAGGAAGGUGGGGAUGACGUCAAAUCAUCAUGCCCCUUAUGACCUGGGCUACACACGUGCUACAAUGGAUGGUACAAAGAGCUGCGAACCCGCGAGGGUAAGCCAAUCUCAUAAAAGCCAUUCUCAGUUCGGAUUGUAGG